rnacentral:rRNA from 1 species
UCCGGCGGUACGGGAUGGGCCCGCGUCUGAUUAGCUUGUUGGCGGGGUAACGGCCCACCAAGGCAGCGAUCAGUAGCCGAUCUGAGAGGAUGGCCGGCCACAUUGGGACUGAGACACGGCCCAAACUCCUACGGGAGGCAGCAGUGGGGAAUAUUGCACAAUGGGGGAAACCCUGAUGCAGCAACGCCGCGUGAGUGAAGAAGUAUUUCGGUAUGUAAAGCUCUAUCAGCAGGGAAGAGAAUGACGGUACCUGACUAAGAAGCCCCGGCUAACUACGUGCCAGCAGCCGCGGUAAUACGUAGGGGGCAAGCGUUAUCCGGAUUUACUGGGUGUAAAGGGAGCGUAGACGGCUGGCCAAGUCUGAAGUGAAAGCCCGGGGCUUAACCCCGGAACGGCUUUGGAAACUGGCUGGCUGGAGUGCUGGAGAGGCAGGCGGAAUUCCUGGUGUAGCGGUGAAAUGCGUAGAUAUCAGGAGGAACACCGGUGGCGAAGGCGGCCUGCUGGACAGUAACUGACGUUGAGGCUCGAAAGCGUGGGGAGCAAACAGGAUUAGAUACCCUGGUAGUCCACGCGGUAAACGAUGAAUGCUAGGUGUCGGGGGGCAAAGCCCUUCGGUGCCGCCGCAAACG